GUACUCGCUUCGGCGGUACAUAUACUAAAAUUGGAACGAUGCAGAGUAGAUUAUCAUGGACCCUGCGCAAGGAUGACACGUAAAAACAAAAUAAAAGAUAAAAAGGA